UUGAUUUAAAGAUGUGCUGGCACUCCUUUAGAGGUUUGCAUGUGCACUCUGCAAAAUCUCCUUCUCUUACCCCAUUGUGCACACCCCAGUAGGCAAACAGAUUUGCAGAGCAAUCUGUGUAAUCCCCGUUGUGCCUAUGUUUUUAUCAAACACCAAUAUUUUCAGAAUGAUAUGUAGUAAGCUUUUUAACAAGCUGAAAUCUAAUA
rnacentral:misc_RNA from 1 species